rnacentral:lncRNA from 1 species
CUUCAUUGAGUUUUACUUGUUCCCCCUUCAUCUAGGGGAUGAUCAGCCCACCUAACUGUCCCAACUUCAAAUCUGUUAGACAUAACAAGAGGGGAUAAGGGAGGGAAAUUGGUUAUGUUAAAGACUGGAGAGUCUUGAACAACUUGCUUCUGUUUGUCCCCAACAUCAGCUGUAGCUUUAGUGCUUGUCUCCUUAAUUACCUCUUGACACUGGAUGUGAGGCAUCUGGUUGUUUUGGACUGUUGCAACUGGUGCUUUCACUCUCCAUUCUUGUGUCACCUUACCUUUUUGUGUAGGUUGAGCAGCUUUAGUUAAACAAUUGUGUCCAACCUCCAAACACUUCUUACAGUACAAAGGUUUCUACUCAUAGAUCACAUCCUGUAUGAAACUCUUUCCAUUUGGAUCUAGAAUCUCUAUUUCACUAGGUAAGUUUUUUGACACAUUUACCUUAAUGAGCAUACGAGCAUAAGAGAUUCUGGAUUGUUUAGCAGUACACUCAUCAGCAAAUAUAGGUUUACCGAGAACACUGGCAAUUCUACUUAAAGACUUGCUGCACCAACAAGACAUAGGUAAGUUAGGAAACUUCACCCAUAGAGGAAUUUAUGAAGGGAAAGCUGCCUUGAAAUCAAAAUCCACAGACCAUUGCUUC